AUCUAGCCCUGAUUGAGCGGUUUGUUUGAGCUCGUUGAGGUACGAAACAGCGAGUAGCGAAAGCAGGAAAUUGC
rnacentral:misc_RNA from 1 species